rnacentral:rRNA from 1 species
UACCAGCACCCCAAGUGGUCGGGACGUUUAUUGGGCCUAAAGCAUCCGUAGCCGGUUCUACAAGUCUUCCGUUAAAUCCACCUGCUUAACAGAUGGGCUGCGGAAGAUACUAUGGAGCUAGGAGGCGGGAGAGGCAAGCGGUACUCGAUGGGUAGGGGUAAAAUCCGUUGAUCCAUUGAAGACCACCAGUGGCGAAGGCGGCUUGCCAGAACGCGCUCGACGGUGAGGGAUGAAAGCUGGGGGAGCAAACCGG